UACGUAGGGUGCAAGCGUUGUCCGGAAUUAUUGGGCGUAAAGAGCUCGUAGGCGGUUUGUCGCGUCGAAUGUGAAAACCCGGGGCUCAACCCCGGGCCUGCAUUCGAUACGGGCAGACUAGAGUUCGGUAGGGGAGUCUGGAAUUCCUGGUGUAGCGGUGAAAUGCGCAGAUAUCAGGAGGAACACCGGUGGCGAAGGCGGGACUCUGGGCCGAUACUGACGCUGAGGAGCGAAAGCGUGGGGAGCGAACAGG
rnacentral:rRNA from 1 species